rnacentral:rRNA from 1 species
AUGGCAUCGGAGCCGGUCGCGCUACCCGACGACGCGCUCGCGGAGGUCCUCCGGCGUCUCCCCCCGCACAUCCUGGCCGAGGCCCGGCGGGUCUGCAAGGCGUGGCGCAACGCCGUCGACGACCGCCUGCGCGGCAGCCUGCUUUCGCGCUCGGUGCGCGGCAUCUUCAUCAACUUCAAGGGGCAGUACUUCUCGGAGUUUUUCUCCCGCCCGUCGACGGGCCCGGCGAUCGACGGAGGGUUCGACUUCCUGCCAUGCAUGGGCGUCGAGGUGAAAGACCACUGCAACGGCCUUUUGCUUUGCCGCGAGUCGAGCUACCGUGCACUGCCGUGCCCGCGCGAGUACGUCGUCAACCCGGCCACCCGGCGGUGGGCUCGUUUGCCCAAACGCCCCCCGCCGCUCAUCCCAGGAUUCGACCACACCGCCCACCUCACGUUCGAGCCCACCGUGUUGCCGCACUAUCAGGUCUUUCUGAUCCCACGCGUGCCAUGGCGACUGCCAUCCGACGGAGAAUCCGGCGACGACGAUGACAACCCGUUGCUCGAAUUGGAGUGGCCUCCCGCGUCAUACCUCGUCGAUGUGUUCUCGUCGGUGACUCAGCAAUGGGACACGGCAACCUUCCUUCGGGAAGGGGAAGCUUCCGGGAUCGUCACCGACAUGCAGUUGGAAUGGUGGUAUGAUCCGUCUCUCUAUCAUGCCGUAUACUGGCAAAGCGCACUCUACAUCCAUUGCCAACAUGGCUAUCUUACGAGAAUGUCCUUGUCAGAUCACUCGUACAGAGUAAUUAAACUACCAGGUGCCGGUGGAUUGAUAGUAUAUUCCAACCACCGUCUCGGGAGAUCGUCGCAAGGGGUGUAUUGUGCAAUACUUGAUGGCAAACGACUUCAGGUUUGGUAUCUCAGUGAAUCGUGCGGUCGAAUAGAAUGGGUGUUAAAACAUGAUACCCGUCUUGAGACCGUCUAUGCUCAACAACUGGGCAGACAAUGGAUCUUACAACAGGUUAACCUCCGUAAGGAGUACCCUGAGCACAAAGCCUCGGAUGUGAAAUAUGACUAUGACUGGAACACUGAUGAGGAUAACGUUCUUGACACUGAAGACGUCGUUGACGAGGCUGUAGAUGUCAUUGAAAAUGAAGAGCACAUAUCUUAUGGUUUCCUUGGAUUUCAUCCUUAUAAAGAGGUUGUCUUCUUGAAUACAUCAACAAGAGGACUAGCCUAUGACUGGAUCAACUCAAAAUUUCAGGACUUGGGCAGUUCAUGGACAUGUUAGGAGUAUGGAACACCAUAUGAAGAGACAGGCGUAUCUUUCCCAUACACGCCUUGUUGGGUAAGCGCGUUUCCUGGAAACGAAUUAGAAUCUCUUCUUUUAGACGAGAAGCUAUAUAGGAACAAGCUAGAACUAGAAGCUCAACUUGAGGAGGAAUCCUACUUCACCUACAUGGGCGAGUAUGAGCUGCGCAAGCAGUCUGGGCGUGCCAAGAGGGUCAAGGACUCUGCCGCCAAGAUUCGUCGCAGACACCUCAUUGCUGCUCGGUAG